CGCGUGGAUAACCUGCCUCACACAGGGGAUAACAGUUAGAAAUGACUGCUAAUACCGCAUAAGCGCACGGCAUCGCAUGAUGCAGUGUGAAAAACUCCGGUGGUGUGAGAUGGAUCCGCGUCUGAUUAGGUAGUUGGUGGGGUAACGGCCUACCAAGCCGACGAUCAGUAGCCGACCUGAGAGGGUGACCGGCCACAUUGGGACUGAGACACGGCCCAA
rnacentral:rRNA from 1 species